AGCCUAGUUGGUAAAGCGCUCGUCUAGCAUACAAGAGUCUUGGGUUCAAAUCCCAG
rnacentral:tRNA from 1 species